UACGAAGGGUGCAAGCGUUGCUCGGAAUUAUUGGGCGUAAAGCGCACGUAGGCGGCAUUGCAAGUCGGAUGUGAAAUCCCUCGGCUUAACCAAGGAAGUGCAUCCGAAACUGCAGUGCUUGAGUACUUAAGAGGAUCGCGGAUUUCCCGGUGUAGAGGUGAAAUUCGUAGAUAUCGGGAGGAACACCGGUGGCGAAGGCGGGUCUCUGGGCCGAUACUGACGCUGAGGAGCGAAAGCGUGGGGAGCAAACAGG
rnacentral:rRNA from 1 species